GAUCUGCAGCAGUGGGGAAUAUUGGACAAUGGGGGCAACCCUGAUCCAGCGAUGCCGCGUGAGUGAUGAAGGCCUUAGGGUUGUAAAACUCUUUCAGAUGGGAAGAUAAUGACGGUACCAUCAGAAGAAGCUCCGGCUAACUCCGUGCCAGCAGCCGCGGUAAUACGGAGGGAGCUAGCGUUGUUCGGAAUUACUGGGCGUAAAGCGCGCGUAGGCGGCUUGGCAAGUUGGGGGUGAAAUCCCGGGGCUUAACCUCGGAACUGCCUCCAAAACUGCUAAGCUAGAAUCCUGGAGAGGUGAGUGGAAUUCCUAGUGUAGAGGUGAAAUUCGUAGAUAUUAGGAAGAACACCAGUGGCGAAGGCGGCA
rnacentral:rRNA from 1 species